rnacentral:rRNA from 1 species
UACGGAGGAUGCAAGCGUUAUCCGGAAUGAUUGGGCGUAAAGCGUCCGCAGGCGGCAAUGUAAGUCUGCUGUCAAAGCGUCUGGCUCAACCAGAUAAAGGCAGUGGAAACUACAUAGCUAGAGUAAGGUAGGGGUAGAGGGAAUUCCUGGUGUAGCGGUGAAAUGCGUAGAGAUCAGGAAGAACACCGGUUGCGAAAGCGCUCUGCUGGACCUUAACUGACACUGAGGGACGAAAGCUAGGGGAGCGAAUGGG